rnacentral:lncRNA from 1 species
CUUCGCACAAAAACUUGAAUGAUGUUCUUGUUAACUUGAAAUCAACCAAGCAUGGAAUAGGCUUUAAGAAUGAAGAAAAGGUUGAAGCUAAACCCCAAUAACCUAAAGCUCAACCUAGGAUUAACAAUUGAAAUGCUUAUCCUAGAAACAACAACUCUAGUGCCAAUAUGCAUGCUAGACAAAAUGCUGAACAUUUUAGAAGACCUAGGAAUGACUUACCACAUAGAAAUAGUCACCCUAGAAAUGAUGCAUACAUUAGGCCAAAUUUUGAACCCCUUAGAAUACCUAGAA